UGAACGCUGGCGGCGUGCUUAAACAUGCAAGUCGAACGAACCUUCGGGUUAGUGGCGGACGGGUGAGUAACGCGUGAGAAUCUGCCCUCAGGAGGGGGAUAACGGUUGGAAACGACCGCUAAUACCCCAUAUGCCUACUGGUGAAAUGAAUUUCGCCUGAGGAUGAGCUCGCGUCUGAUUAGCUAGUUGGUGAGGUAAUGGCUCACCAAGGCUUCGAUCAGUAGCUGGUCUGAGAGGAUGAUCAGCCACACUGGGACUGAGACACGGCCCAGACUCCUACGGGAGGCAGCAGUGGGGAAUUUUCCGCAAUGGGCGAAAGCCUGACGGAGCAACGCCGCGUGAGGGACGAAGGCCUCUGGGCUGUAAACCUCUUUUCUCAAGGAAGAAGAUAUGACGGUACUUGAGGAAUAAGCCACGGCUAAU
rnacentral:rRNA from 1 species